UAGGUGUGUGUGUGUGUACAGUACGUGUGUAGGUGUGUGUGUGUGUAAGCGUUUGUAGGUAUAUCACCGUUUCAUGUGUAUGGAUCAGAAAUAUGAUUAAGUGGAUUUUUUUUAUUUGCCUUUGGAGUUACUUUAUUUCUUUAAAUGCUACAAAUCCAGAUGACAUUUUUCUAUCUAUUUUGAAAAUGAGCUUUUAGGUGUUUUCUGUUAAGGUAAUUCAGUAAAGGUUUCUGAACGCUCUCGUGCAGUUGUGUCAAACUCAUUCCACGGAAGGCCGAGUGUCUGCAGGUUUUUGUUUUUUCCUUUCAAUGGAGUCCUAGACAACCAGGUGAGGAGAGUUCCUUACUAAUUAGAGACCUUAAUUCAUCAAUCAAGUACAAGGGAGGAGGGGAAAUCCCCGCAGACACUCGGCCAGCCGUGGAAUGAGUUUGACACGUGCUCUAGUGCCAAAUUUCUACUUGGUCUCCUGCAACACUUUUUGAACAGGAAAAUGAAUACUGCUGCAACAGCUGGAUCUGGUAAAAAUCACUGAGUUUGAUGGAGGUAUGCUCUCUACAGUUUAUAAUUUAGAUUUAGUCCGAUGAUGUACUACACAUUAAUAUCGGAUCAUUCAAAGCCACUAGAUUGAGAAGAAUAAGAUAUUAAUUUAGAUCCAUUUUUACAGAGAACUAUAUUCUGCCAUUGACAGCAAGCCAAGAUGUUCCAGAGCCAACACUUUAUCACUGACCCCUUAACACAGGGUUUCAGAUAGCUGUUAAUGAUGUCCAACACUUUAUCACUGACCCCUUAACACAGGGUUUCAGAUAGCUGUUAAUGAUGUCCAACACUUUAUCACUGACCCCUUAACACAGGGUUUCAGAUAGCUGUUAAUGAUGUCCAACACUUUAUCACUGACCCCUUAACACGGGGUUUCAGAUAGCUGUUAAUGAUGUCCAACACUUUAUCACUGACCCCUUAACACAGGGUUUCAGAUAGCUGUUAAUGAUGUCCAACACUUUAUCACUGAUCCCUUAACACAGGGUUUCAGAUAGCUGUUAAUGAUGUCCAACACUUUAUCACUGAUCCCUUAACACAGGGUUUCAGAUAGCUGUUAAUGAUGUCCAACACUUUAUCACUGACCCCUUAACACGGGGUUUCAGGUAGCUGUUAAUGAUGUCCAACACUUUAUCACUGAUCCCUUAACACAGGUUUCAGAUAGCUGUUAAUGAUGUCCAACACUUUAUCACUGACCCCUUAACACGGGGUUUCAGGUAGCUGUUAAUGAUGUCCAACACUUUAUCACUGACCCCUUAACACGGGGUUUCAGAUAGCUGUUAAUGAUGUCCAACACUUUAUCACUGACCCCUUAACACAGGGUUUCAGAUAGCUGUUAAUGAUGUCCAACACUUUAUCACUGACCCCUUAACACGGGGUUUCAGGUAGCUGUUAAUGAUGUCCAACACUUUAUCACUGACCCCUUAACACGGGGUUUCCAAAACGCGGUCCUGGAGCCCCCCCCCCCGGGUGUAUAUUUUGGCUUUUGCCCUCGCACUCCAGGAUCGGGUCUGCCUUAACAGACACGUAUCUACUUCAUGGCAGAAAAAAAUAUUUUUGACAUAUUUUAGUCCAUUUAUUUGAUUGUUGUUUUGUUUUACAUUUGGAAAUGUUGACGAAUGGUGUAUUGUUUAGAGUUCUGAUUAUUAUUUCACAUUUUAAAUUCAAGCAGAAAAAUAUAUUGAAGAUUUACAUUUUAAAUUUUUUAUUUAAAUUGCAUGACAAGUAACUAAAACAUAUCUUCAUGGAAAAUUUGAACUGGCUUUACAAAAUGUUACGUCAAGAUUGUUGUGAUGUGGAAUUUUGCUGUACCACAAUUUCUUGCGCUAUAUCCUGAAGUCAAUAUCGCUGUGACCUCUCGAGAUGUCUUAGGGCUAGAAACCAGACAGAACUAUAAUAACGGCUAGUUUUGGUUCAAUGUGUUGUUUGGAGGCUGUCGAUGCUCUGUUUCCAUCUCACCAAUCAGAUUUAGGAUCCAGAGCUACUGAUCUACAGUAUGUAAUGCACCUGCAUCGACAGACUACAGAUGCAUUACAUACUGUAGACUACAGAUGCAUUACAUACUGUAGACUACAGAUGCAUUACAUACUGUAGACUACAGAUGCAUUACAUACUGUAGACUACAGAUGCAUUACAUACUGUAGAUACAGAUGCAUCUGGAAUCCUAUGGAGACUUUCUGGAAUAGAUAGUUCACGAACUAAUGCAUUUUUGAUCAAGUGUGUCAGUAGCUCCUAAAUUCCCAAGUCUUAAGAAGUUACAAGGGAAACCUGGGGAGGAUUGGUUUUAGUAUCACUUCGUUGCCAAGCAAACCGUCACAAGAAAGAGUGAUGAAUUAGUCAUUAUAAAAGACAGAAAAAAAAGAUGAGAAACAAAAAAAAGACCUGUUGUGUGUUCCGAUUUCCAGACAUAUUUGCAUGAAUCUGUAUGUGCUGGAAAACAAUUGUGGAAAACCUAUUUUCUGUUUUGCUGUCACAGCUGUAGUAUUCUGUUCACACUUUGGGGUGUAUGAAUGUUGAAUGACAGUCAGUAAAGUUACUUUCCUCUUUUCAUCUGGCAACUUCCAAUAAUUAAGUGUUUAGUAUGGGUUGUAGCCAGUUAUUGUUGAAAUCAACCAUGCUCCAGGCAGAAGUUACCAUUUAAAUCCUCACCUUAUCCAUCCAAGGGUGAAACCCCUCCAACUAACCUUAUAUCAGUGUCUGGGGGGGGGGGGGGAUUACAUCUUGUGACAACCUAUGACCCUUGUGUUCACCAACCCUGGUCCUGAGGACCCACUGGGUGUGCAGGCUUUUGUUCUAGCCCAGCACUAACCACACUUGAUUAAAGUAAUCAUCAAGACCGAAGGCUGGACCCACUGCUGUAGGGAAUAUACGAGUUGGACACGGAGGUUUGAGCAAAACUAUCAUGAGGUGAUGUGAUGGAAGUUGUUUAUUGGAGGUCUUUUUGUUUUUCUGUCCCGUGACAUAUUUUACCACGGCAUCAUGAUUUUUGUGGCGUUUUAGUGAGUAGCAGAACACAGCUCUAGAACUUGUGUCCGAUUCUGUGUUUGCAAUACAACGGUCUUCCCUGUAAGCCCCGAUUAGUCGACAAUAAAAUUACAAAUCUUGUUGGAA